UGAGGCUUGAAUUUCUGUCAUUGUGAGUAAUGAUGCUACGUCGUCUUGGGAGGGGAAAGCGAGAGUUUGUGGUGGAUAACAACGAUGCUAAAGCAUACCUGUUGUUGAAUGUGAUUAACAAUUAAUGUCAAUUAAAGCUAAAUAAAAUAAAUAAAUAGGAGAGAGAUAGAGAGAGAAAUAGGAAAGUGACCACCUGUGGUGAUUAAGGAGGAGGGGUUGAGAGCGAGGAAAUUGAACAAGUGAGGAGGAAGGAACAAACAGAGUCGACAUGAUUUAUUGCUUGUGUUAAGACUUCAGAGCUUUCUUCUUUCUUCUUCUUUCUUCUUUUGUGAAGCUGGGACUGUAUUUUUACCAAGAAAUUAAGAUUAAUGGAGGAGCGAGGUUAUAGAUAUAUAUUGAUGGAAAGCAAGCAAGCAAGCCAGCCAGCCAAGUGUUGUGUGGUUAUAUGGGUGAGUCAUUGCCACCUGCAUGCUUGGCUCAG
rnacentral:lncRNA from 1 species